rnacentral:rRNA from 1 species
CCUACGGGAGGCAGCAGUGAGGAAUAUUGGUCAAUGGUCGGGAGACUGAACCAGCCAAGCCGCGUGAGGGAGGAAGGUACAGAGUAUCGUAAACCUCUUUUGUCAGGGAACAAAGACUGGGACGCGUCCCCGGAUGAGUUUACCUGAAGAAAAAGCAUCGGCUAACUACGUGCCAGCAGCCGCGGUAAUACGGAGGAUGCGAAGGUUAUACGGAUUUAUUGGUGUUAACGGGUGGGCCGGCGGUCCGUUAAGUCAGCGGUCAAAGCAAGGGGCGCAACCCCGGCCCGCCGUUGAAACGGGCAGUCUCGAGUUGGAGAGAAGUAUGCGGAAUGCGCGGUGUAGCGGUGAAAUGCAUAGAUAUCGCGCAGAACUCCGAUUGCGAAGGCAGCAUGCCGGCUCCACACGGACGCUGAGGCACGAAAGCGUGGGUAUCGAACAGGAGUAGAUACCCCUGUAGUC